AAUAUUGGACAACGGGGGCAACCCUGAUCCAGCCAUGCCGCGCGUGUGAAGAAGGUCUUCGGAUUGUAAAGCACUUUAAGUUGGGAGGAGGGGCAUUAGGUUAAUACCCUGACGUGUUGAUGUUACCAACAGAAUAAGCACCGGCCAACUCUGCGCCAGCCGCCGCGGUAAUACAGAGGGUGGAGGCGUUAAGAGGAAUUACUGGGCGUAAAGCGCGCGUAGGUGGUUCAGUAAGAUGGGUGUGAAAUCCCCGGGCUUAACCUGGGAACUGCUUUCAUAACUGCUGAGCUAGAGUACGGUAGAGGGUAGUGGAAUUUCCUGUGUAGCGGUGAAAUGCGUGGAUAUAGGAAGGAACACCAGUGGCGAAGGCGACUACCUGGACUGAUACUGACACUGAGGUGCGAAAGCGUGGGGAGCAAAC
rnacentral:rRNA from 1 species